GUCUGGGGCGGCUGCUGUUGCACUUAGGCUGGGUCUCCGAGCCCCGGAGGAAGCAGGCGUGUGUUGAAUUUCUCUCUGCCCCUUACCGUGGAAUAAACAGGAAGCGACGAGCACCCAGCCCGGCCCGGCACUUGCCUUUGUGAAGGGGUCUGCCCUGCACAGCCUUUAGGAAGCUGGGACCCCUGCCCGGUGCGCCACCCCGGGUGGGCCUGGGGGCGCGCCCUUGGUUCAAGCUCUACGUUCGUGACAUCAAACCUCCUGUUGGGCCAUUUCCGAGAGCUCCCAUCAGUUUCUGUAUAGUGUAAAAGGUAAGUGGAACUACUUGUGACUGUUCUUUGUGAUGAUGUCUGGGAAGCAGAGCUUGUCGCGGCAGGAGCUGCUCUGCGAUGGUGGACCUGUCUGGCUGCGUUUGUUUUGACAAGGGUGCGCCUCAUUUGUGUGUUUCUUCUUUGGGGCUGAAUGUCAGUGGCUGGGGCUUGGGUAUCUAUUCACAGUA
rnacentral:sRNA from 1 species